CGCUUUUCUCUUUUUGAAUUUAAUCAAAUCGUGCUCCAGUAGUUAUUCAUCUCCAUCGCCUUUUGAAUAUUCAGAUGAAUAUUUUGUCUGUCUUAACACAGAUGUCGACCUUCUUGACGCUUGAUUCAGUUUCAAUGGAGAAGACCUCCUUAGACGUUGACUUGGCUGCGUUAAACAACAACAAAACCAAAUUUUGAAGAAUCUGAAAAUGGCAUGUGUUUCAAUGCGUCAAUGAAACGACAAACAACAAGAAGACGAUGGGGUCAGCAGCUCUGAUUUCUGGGAUUGGAUUUAACUCAGGGUUUUUUCUCAUACAGUGACCAGUGAAGUCUCUCUCUUUCUGUAUCAUUUAAGUUCAUUCAUAGCUCUUGCUGUCUUCGAGCUUUUAGUCUGGGGAGGAAAGAUUACAAGCGAAGUGAGUCUUAAAAUUUUUCUCACCAAUUGUGUUAUGGAACAAAUUUACUUCAAGGCAGUACAAAUCUAAUGUCUUUCUUUCUGCAUUCACGGAUUAUUGGAAGGAAUCAAAGAUUUUCUGGACUACUUUCCCGAGUAUUGCUGCAAUGAUGGGACUGUAAAUGAGAGACACAGUGUAAUUGGGAAAUCUUUCAAAGUUCAGCCUUGGGAUGCAAGAGUAGAAUUCACUGGUAGUGUAAAGUGUAAUUGGGAAAUCUUUCAAAAUUCAGCCUUGGGAUGCAAGAGUAGAAUUCACUGGUAGUGUAAAAUGUAAUGUAGCAUAACAUAAUCUGCUUCCUGAACACAUUGCCAAAUGUUUGCCAGAUGUAUCUUAGGCUUGCAAAUGAUUUAAAAGGAGUACAAAUAUAAACUUCUUUGGUUAGAAUUGAUCUCUAUUAAUUGCAUUUUUCUUCUGUUGCUAAAUUGUGCAUUUUACUGUUCUCACCUUGUUUUUGACAUAUAAAGUGGUAAGUAGGAUUUAUCUUUAUAUUGUCUUUUAUUCCUAUUUGAAUCUGACAUUAUAUAUAUGUAUAUAUAUUCUUUUCCUUUUCAAUUGCAGGCUGGGGAUGAUACAAUACAGUUGUAUUACAAUUACAUCAAUGACUUUGAGACUAAAAAUCAACCUUCUCAAAAGCUUUACAAACUUAGUGGUUUUAGUUUGUAGCAAGUAGGACUAAUAUUUUUUAUGUCUUCUUCCAGUCUGCAUAUGACAUAUUUUUUUUUUUUGGGUUUUCAAUUGCAGGCUAAGGAUGCUGUUAUGCAGUUGAAUCAUAACCUUGUCAAGCUUGCACACUUUGCAAUUUUAGUUUCUUGACAGUAUUUAGAGGAGAAGCAACCAUUAGAACUAUCUUGAUGGUGUGAUUGAGAAGAUUGGAGGGACAAGAGAGCAGUUUACGUAAGAUGCAAAUAGUCACAUUCAAACUUGAGCAAGGGGUCCAGAUAGAAGAUAGAAAAAGUGCACUUGACAGUAUGACAGAUAUUGAUCCAAUUGUUUAAAAUUUGUGUUUGAUUCAUUUAUGUGAAACUGUGCUGUAUUUACCAUAGGAUAAUUGAUAAUGAUGAAAGAUAAUGGUUUGUUGGGUUUGGGAGGAAGAAAGACUGCCGGGAUUGCCAAGUCUCUUCCUCUCUCUGCUGUGGGUGUGGCGUGUGGUGUAUCUCUUCCUCUCUCUCUUUCACUUCCUCUUCAAUUUCUCUUUGCUCUCUGCUUUCUCUUCAUCUCUUUCUCUAUUACUUUUUCCCUCUUGAAUGUUUUCUCUGUUUUCUA